ACACAGCAGUUGCUAUUUGUUUGCUUUGUAUCGUAAUGAAAAUGUCCUUUAUGCCUGUAACUGACCAGCAGAGACAUUUUCAAGAGCAGCCAGUUUUUUUUUUUUUUUUUAUGCUUUUUAGUUGAAAUGAGGCCCUUCAAAAAGAGUCCUUAUAUCACUGCGUGUUUCUCCUCCUAGCCAGCAAUAACUUCUGACACUUUCUAACAAGUGACUGUAUUCUAUAAGAGUGAAGCCUUUGUGUUUCUGACAGACACUAAGUCAGUAUUUUUUGUGGGAUACAGUGGUUGUACGGUGUGGUACCCUGCAACAGAUCUGUAACAGAAUAUCAUUAAAUCUCAUGUUUCAUAAGGAGAAAACACCUGUGGGAAAUGCCUUAUCCUCACAUGCUUCAGUUUGAGGUAGGAUGUGCUCAUCUUUUCAUAUGAACUAUGGGCAAUCUUUGUCUUUCCCAGAAAUGAACGUCAGUAUCGGGAUCUGUCCCACUGCCUUUCUCUGCUUCCCAUCUCAGAGCGGGGCCUUCACAAGCUGCAGGACAACUUUGAUUGCUUUGCAGACAAGCUCCAAGACCCAUCUGUCUACAGCUGUUUCCAAGCUGUGCUGGUUCGAUUCCGCAGAGCAGUUGGCAAACCUGAGACUAAAGCUUUGGCUGAAGAGCUGGAGCAGAAGCUGUCAGCCUGCCAUAACAAAGGGCUGGAUUCAGCAGAGAUGUGCCAGGAAGGUGAUAAAACUCCAAUGCCAGAACCAGCCAAGCAAAAACCAACAGCAGCAGGCUGCUGCCGCCAGCCCCUGAGCACAGCCAACAGGGAUGAUGAUGAUUUUGUCACACCCCAGCCACAAGCGCUCCGAAACAAUAAACGUGCUCAGAAGUCCCAUCGGCGCAAAAAACCUGUUAUCACCUUCUCCAGUGAUGAAGAGAACAGCUCUGAGAAUGAGCUACUGGCAGAAUUAAGAGAGGAAGAUACCCCCACCAAAACAACUCCCAUCACCAGGUCUUCAACCCGACGGCUGCGCUGAAGGAACCAUCUGCCACUGUCUUUAAAAAUAAAGCUUGAUUUUUUUGCAGCAGUCA